UUACCUUCCUCACACACUCGGUUAACAUCACUUGUUCACCAUUCUCUUACAAUCCGAGAUUCAUUCUGUCGCGACAUACCAUCAUUCCGAUGCAACCUCACACACUCACGUUUCGAACCCCCUUGUAUCUCGCCGGAGUUUGAACAUUCACCGGAGAACUCGUAGACGGAAUUCGAAGCACACGCCGGAGCCACUGAAGACUACGGACCUCGCGACAGUAAUCGUUUUCAUCUCGAAGAUGACGAAGUCUAGCACCUAUUCAAAAGUUGAAUGUUCAAGAUGAUG
rnacentral:lncRNA from 1 species